rnacentral:rRNA from 1 species
AAGCGCUUGCAACCAGACUUGCCUGUAGUUGCUCAUCCGGUCUCCUGACCGGUGCAUUCUUCUACAGGCAGGCCAGCAUCAGUUCGGGCGGCUAGAUAAAGACCUCUGUCACGUAUCUUCCUUCGGGAUGACCUUAUAGGGGAGGUGUAAUGUAGCCAGCCUGGAUUGAGGUCCGCGCAUCUGCUAGGAUGCUGGCGUAAUGGUUGUAAGCGG